AGCAGCCGCGGUAAUUCCAGCUCCAAUAGCGUAUAUUAAAGUUGUUGCAGUUAAAAGCUCGUAGUUGAAUUUCGGGAUUGACACAUCGGUCGUGCCUUAAGGGGUAUGGACUGGUGUAGUCAAUUUCUCACCUUCUGGAGAACCGCGAUGCCCUUAAUUGGGUGCCGCGGGGAACCAGGACCUUUACUUUGAAAAAUUAGAGUGUUUAAAGCAGGCAUUUUGCUUGAAUACAUUAGCAUGGAAUAAUAAAAUAGGACGGCAUGAUUCUAUUUUGUUGGUUCCUAGGAUCACCGUAAUGAUUAAUAGGGAUAGUUGGGGGCAUUAGUAUUCAAUUGUCAGAGGUGAAAUUCUUGGAUUUAUUGAAGACUAACUACUGCGAAAGCAUUUGCCAAGGAUGUUCUCAUUAAUCAAGAACGAAAGUUAGGGAUCGAAGACGAUCAGAUACCGUCGUAGUCUUAACCAUAAACUAUGCCGACUAGGAAUCAGACGAUGUUAAUUUUUAAUGUACUCGUUUGGCACC
rnacentral:misc_RNA from 1 species